UACGUAGGGGGCAAGCGUUGUCCGGAUUUAUUGGGCGUAAAGCGCGUGUAGGCGGCCAGGUAGGUCCGUUGUGAAAGCUCGAGGCUCAACCUCGAGACGUCGACAGAAACCAUCUGGCUAGAGUCCGGAAGAGGAGAGUGGAAUUCCUGGUGUAGCGGUGAAAUGCGCAGAUAUCAGGAAGAACACCCGUGGCGAAGGCGGCUCUCUGGGACGGUACUGACGCUGAGACGCGAAAGCGUGGGGAGCGAACAGG
rnacentral:rRNA from 1 species